GUCUGUCAGGCUUUCCCUCCUAGCAUGAAAUAUGGAGUUUUUAGCAGUACCGGUGAGUGAUAUUUCUCAGGAGAUAUGUGCAAUUUUCUGGACAUUUUCUACAGCGAUAUCAGAGAGAAGCAGACAGAGGGGUCUCCAAUAUGCUUUUGAGAACUACAUUCACCAAAUUAAAUGUUGGCAGAGUGCAAAUGAAGAGGACGUUAAAAUAGAGGGAAAAGCGCACAGAUCUCAGUACUUGCCUGGUGUGGAGGAUGUCGACAUCACGAAUUACCUUGUCCUCCAGACCUCCUACUACACCGCUAGCCAAAUGCGUACAAGAGUCUGGAGGCGUAUAACUACUUCGUCUGUGGUUGGGUCAGCGACCUCGGAUCCAAAGCAGCACUGAAUGACUGUCAUCUUGUUUUUGCCCGGGUCAACCAUUCUCAGAGGUCUAAUGAGACACCUUUGAAAACGUGGCUAAAGAAAGCAGAGAAGUUGUUACAGCACAUGAGGAUGAUGUAAUUCUGGACAAGAACCAUGCAUACUACUACCAAGUACAGGCUCAGCUUCACAUUGUAGGUGCUGAUAACUGUGACUUUGUAGUGUGGAACAAAAAUGACAUCUUUGUAGCGAGGAUUUUGCCUGAUGCUGAACUCUAGGACAGCAUCAUUCCCAAAGUUGAAGAGUUCUUCAGGUACUGUGUCCUUCCUGAAGUGUUGGGACAGCAAUUUACAAAGUGAAAAUCAGGUCAUCAUGUGUGUGUGUGUGUAAAUUUUCCCUAUUGUGAAACUUAUGAAUUUUAAAUCUUAAAUUUACUACUGUAUUAUUUUUUUCUGUCUGGCUUAACUAUAUUAUCUCCAGUGUUGUUAAAAUGAAUCAAAUGUUCUUGUGUCUAUACAUGUAUUUCCAUAGGUAUUCAUAGUAUGUAACUGUAAUAGGUGAAGUUCUUGCCUAUCACAAAUAAAAUAAAUGGGUGUCUGAAAUAUA